rnacentral:rRNA from 1 species
ACGACUCUCGACAACGGAUAUCUCGGCUCUCGCAUCGAUGAAGAACGUAGCGAAAUGCGAUACUUGGUGUGAAUUGCAGAAUCCCGUGAACCAUCGAGUCUUUGAACGCAAGUUGCGCCCCAAGCCUUUAGGCCGAGGGCACGCCUGCCUGGGUGUCAC